UUCCUGGUGGCUCAGAUGGUAAAGAAUCUGCCUGCAAUGCAGGAGACCCAGCUUCAAUCCUGCGUCAGGAAG
rnacentral:tRNA from 1 species